rnacentral:rRNA from 1 species
GAUGAACGCUGGCGGCGUGCUUAACACAUGCAAGUCGAACGGAAAGGCCCUGCUUUUGUUGCUUUCUCGUUUGCCGAACGGGUGUGUGACACGUGUGUAUCCCGCCCUUGUCUUUCGGGUAACUUUACGAAAAUCGGGCUCAUAUCGCAUAGGAGCUCUUGCUGCAUGUUGUGGGUUGGAAAGUUUCGGCGGUUGGGUGUGGAUUCGCUGCUUAUCGGCUUGUUUGUGGGGUAGUGGCUUACCAAGGCUUUGAGGGGUAGCCUGCCUGAGCGGGUGACCGGCCAUCCUGGCACUGAGAUGCGGCCGAGAUUGGUACGGGAGGCAGCAGGGGGGAAUAUUGCAGAAUGGGCGGCAGCCGGAUGAAGCAACGCCGCGUGCGGGAUGACGGCCUUCGGGUUGUAAACCGCUUGCGCAUGUAACGAAGCGUGAGUGACGGUAAUGUGUAAAGAAGCCCCGGCUAAAUACGUG